rnacentral:lncRNA from 1 species
AACCCUGGUAUUCACACGGCAAGCAACCCUACAUAUAAACAAUCAGUUGCUUAAACAAAUUAUAUAAAGCAAAACCCCUCUUUCAUUUUAAAAUAGUGUGUAAAUAAUAGGCCUCCAUCUGUGUUAUUCUUUUAAAAUGUCCACCCCUCUUUAAUUUUAAAAUAGUAUGUAAAUAAUAGGCCUCCAUCUUUGUUAUACUUUUAAAAUGUCCCUAUAUAGCCUAUGCGAAAUGCAUCCUGGGAUAUUUGACGGUUCCAGCACAGGCACACAAGUACAGAAAAGAACACGAAUUGUGAAACAUUCCUUUUUGCAUGGGCAAUUUGUGUAAAUAUGAAACAAUAUCAGAUGUUUGAGUUUUUGUUGGAGUAUACAAAUAAAAAAAACACACUAUUUACAACACCACACUAUAUAAAAAAAAUCACACUAUUUACAAUAUCUUCGUUUUACAGGGGCCUGGAGUGUUUUCAGGGGCCUGGUAGUGUACCUCCGUUCCCGUUCUCGUCCAUGUCGUCAAUCAUUGUCGAACACAAUGGCUGGGACGAAUCCGUAUCUGAUGGGAGGAAAGAUCGUUUCCAUUAUUUUUUACAUUUGGCUAAUAGGUGUUAUACAUGACAGAUCAAAUCCAUAUUUGAAGACAAUCUCUGAUGGGAGGAUGAGGAAUCAGUAUCCGAUGACAAAUCAAAUCCAUAUUAACACCAUGUAUAGUCAUACCUUGGGAGGCGGUUGUGCGGUUCUGGUUGUCGUGUUCUAGAAAUGAAAGCAAAUGUUAAUAUUAAUUAGUAAUUUGGAUGGGUAUGCAUUUGUUUGCUUGUGUACGCUAGGUUAAUUUGUAGAGUAUAGUCUAAUAGGUAAAAUAAGACUAGAAAUCUCUAACCAAAUUAAAACACAUGUUGUUGGGUAAUUUGCAUUACCUUGGGAGGCGUUGAUAAGUUGGAGGUCAUCCAGUUCUAGAUAUGAAGGAAAGAAAUGUUAAUAUUCCAUUUGUAAUCAUCCUUUGGAUUGGGAUGCACAUUUUGUAAGCUAGGUUAAUAAAUGAGUCGGUUGGUUG